GACGAACGCUGGCGGCGUGCUUAACACAUGCAAGUCGAACGGAAAGGCCCUGCUUUUGUGGGGUGCUCGAGUGGCGAACGGGUGAGUAACACGUGAGUAACCUGCCCUUGACUUUGGGAUAACUUCAGGAAACUGGGGCUAAUACCGGAUAGGAGCUCCUGCUGCAUGGUGGGGGGUGGAAAGUUUCGGCGGUUGGGGAUGGACGCGCGGCUUAUCAGCUUGUUGGUGGGGUAGUGGCUUACCAAGGCUUUGACGGGUAGCCGGCCUGAGAGGGUGACCGGCCACAUUGGGACUGAGAUACGGCCCAGACUCCUACGGGAGGCAGCAGUGGGGAAUAUUGCACAAUGGGCGGAAGCCUGAUGCAGCAACGCCGCGUGCGGGAUGACGGCCUUCGGGUUGUAAACCGCUUUCGCCUGUGACGAAGCGUGAGUGACGGUAAUGGGUAAAGAAGCACCGGCUAACUACGUG
rnacentral:rRNA from 1 species